rnacentral:lncRNA from 1 species
CUUUCUGAAGUUCUUGAGGUUAAGCAUCAGCACAUAAAAUUCUUAAAGCUUAGCUUUCUGCACAUUUUUCCCAUUUUUGGCAGGGGAUGGCGUGAGGGUCUUUAAUUAUCAUCAACACAGAAUAAGCAUACAAGAAUUACGUUCUCCAUUGAUUCACUAUCAAAUAUUCGUGUAUGCAUGCAUGCAAGAACACACAAUGUCACACACAAAUACACACGUCUAGAAAUAUUGAUUGGUAUGUGUGUGACAGAAAAGCAUUAGAGGAUGUUUCAUUGCAAUCACCUGCUUUACCAAUGUAACCGCAGUCGUCCCACUGCAGAAGCAAUCGAUUGUUGGAUGCAACUUUAGUUCCUUAUCCAUUAACUUGAAAGCCUUUAAG